UUGAGGCAGAAACAUAUGGGGUCCAUGCCCAGAAUUCUCAAAAGCAUGGAGGGGUGUCAUCACAUUCAAACGAGAGUAACUUGGUUUUUCCAAAAUUAUUGAUCCAACUGACAGAAGAGGAAAAGGAAGAAGAUUUCAUGGUUUUUAUAGGAUCAAAGCUUCCUCAAAGGCCUAAGAAGAGAGCAAAGCUUAUUCAGAGAAAAAUCGAUUUGAUGGUUCCUGGUUCAUGGAUUUCUGGCCUGACUCUAAAGCGCUAUGAAAUUCAAGAUGGGCUUACCAAACAGAGAAUCGGUGGUUUGAAGGGAAUGGGGGAUCUUGAGUGCAACUCUGACUAGGAAUUCGAAACAUGAAAAGGAAACGGAACAAAAAGGAGUUGAAGCACAACCAAAAAGACGGGAGAACAGAAGAUAUAGCAUAUAUAUGUGGUUUAAUAAAAUUGGAGGUUAGAAAAGUCAACAAGGGCUUAUGACAAGGGCUUAAGGCUUUAUAUAUAGUUAAAUAGUUGCGUAGAACUAUUAGCUAUAUUCAAAUUCGUGGUUUAAAGUUUAUGCAUUAUCCUCUUAUUCUCACCUUUCUUUAUCUAGAACAAAAUUAUUUGCUUUCCUCGAAUGUUUUUUUCAUAUUUAA